rnacentral:lncRNA from 1 species
AUGCAAUUCAGUGGAAAAAGGCAGCAGGAAGAAAUUGAAUCCAUGGGGACAGGGAAGAACUUCAUUAUUGUAAUGGUGUUUAAUAAAAGAAUUUUUUUUAUUACAGAAGCUGUUUCUCUUAGAAAACAUGAAGCAACAUGGGCGAGGAAGUUGGCUAACAAUCAUCAUGAACAGAUGAUUCACGUGAAGAAGCAGAAAUUAUGUACUGACAAAUUAUCCAAGGUUCCAAAGGUCCUGUGAACCAAGCAGACAAAGCAAAGAGAUUUCUUCUUCCCCUCCUGACCCGUCUCAAGGUUGCUGGGCGCAAUGACAAUUACUGCCUUCCCUGCCAGCCCUGAAGGCCCCAGGCACCCAGCCAGGGAUGUGCUGUUGACUCUGAGGGAAGCCUAACAGCACACAGAGCUGGCUGUAAAAUCAGCAAGUCCUAAGUGGAGAACUUGGACCCAAACUGCUGCUGGAGUGCAAGACUCAAGACAUCCCCAUGACCAGGGAUGCCUGUACUGCUGGAGGUUUGAGGGAGUCACUUGUACUCUUGUAUAUGAAUGUGAGUCUAGAUUAUGGUUAUUAUAUUGAUACAGCAAACCACAUAUUAAGACCUGACUCAACCUGCAGAUGGUCUAGGUGAUUAGAAAUUGUAAGAUAAUUGCAUCGCAAGUGCUGUAUUAUGCAGUUAUAAAUUGUACUACAUUGAUUCUAGAAAUCCUGUGCCAUACUAACUGUAAAUUCCUUUCUAUACUAAUCCUAGUAGACUGUGAAUAAAAUAAAGUUUUAAUUGUAACUACA